rnacentral:tRNA from 1 species
CGCGGAGUGGAGCAGUGGCAGCUCGUCGGGCUCAUAACCCGAAGGUCGAUGGUUCGAUUCCAUCCUCCGCAACCA